AACAGAGGCAUGAAGUAACUCUAUAGCUUUCCUUAAAAGAAAUACUUGGGACGGGGCACGACGGUAAACAUUUCAACGAUUUCUGUCCCGUGGCUCGCCACACGCAGACUUUGUCCUUCGGACAAAUGGCCUGUGCCCCAACUACGGGAAGAUAAGAGAAAUCUAUCCUUCCACGAACGACGCUUCUCGCUAGCAACUUCCCCCAAGGACAGCUAAUAUCUUUCUCUAACCACCAACAUGGAAAUUGACCAAUUAACAGCAACGUCAAUUUCCCUCACCCUUCGAGCGAAGACUUUUCUCCGCGAAUCCGAUGAUCUUGU
rnacentral:misc_RNA from 1 species